rnacentral:rRNA from 1 species
GACGAACGCUGGCGGCGUGCUUAACACAUGCAAGUCGAACGGAAAGGCCCUGCUUUUGUGGGGUGCUCGAGUGGCGAACGGGUGAGUAACACGUGAGUAACCUGCCCUUGACUUUGGGAUAACUUCAGGAAACUGGGGCUAAUACCGGAUAGGAGCUCCUGCUGCAUGGUGGGGGUUGGAAAGUUUCGGCGGUUGGGGAUGGACUCGCGGCUUAUCAGCUUGUUGGUGGGGUAGUGGCUUAUCAAGGCUUUGACGGGUAGCCGGCCUGAGAGGGUGACCGGCCACAUUGGGACUGAGAUACGGCCCAGACUCCUACGGGAGGCAGCAGUGGGGAAUACUGCACAAUGGGCGGAAGCCUGAUGCAGCAACGCCGCGUGCGGGAUGACGGCCUUCGGGUUGUAAACCGCUUUCGCCUGUGACGAAGCGUGAGUGACGGUAAUGGGUAAAGAAGCACCGGCUAACUACGUG